GAACGCACCUUGCACCCUUUGGUAUUCCAAAGGGUACACCCGUUUGAGCGUCAUUGUAAUCUCACCUCUUUGGUAUUUUUUGGAUGCCCAAGAGAAGUGGAAAUGGAUGUUGCCGUGUUUCUAGACAUGGCUCAUCUGAAAAGUCUCAGUGCAUGGCCGUGACAGGCUAGAGGUGCUUGAUGUGAUAAUUAAUUAAUUCAUCAUUGCAAUCCUCUUCAAGUUCUGACUUGGUAUUAGUGUGCUGUCUAAUCGUCCAGUCUCUGGACAAACUUACAUUGACAAUUUGACCUCAAAUCGGGUGGGACUACCCGCUGAACUUAAG
rnacentral:misc_RNA from 1 species